rnacentral:rRNA from 1 species
AGUCCUAGCCCUAAACGAUGUUCACUAGGUGUUAAAGGUAUCGACCCCUUUAGUGCCGCAGCUAACGCGAUAAGUGAACCGCCUGGGAAUUACGAUCGCAAGAUUAAAACUCAAAGGAAUUGACGGGGGCCCGCACAAGUGGUGGAGCAUGUGGUUUAAUUCGAUGCUACGCGAACAACCUUACCUGGGCUUGACAUGCUAGUAGUAAAAACCCGAAAGGGCAAUGAUCCUGUUUUACAGGAAGCUAGCACAGGUGCUGCAUGGCUGUCGUCAGUUCGUGUCGUGAGAUGUUUGGUUAAGUCCAACAACGAACGUAACCCCUAUUGUUAGUNNNNNNNNNNNNNNNNNNNNNNNNNNNNNNNNACUGCCCGGGAUGACCGGGAGGAAGGUGGGGAUGAGGUCAAGUCAUCAUGGCCCUUAUGUCCAGGGCUACACACGUGCUACAAUGCUGCAUACAACGGGAAGCAAAUCCGCAAGGAAGAGCUAAUCCAUAAAAGUGCAGCUCAGUUCGGAUUGGAGGCUGAAAUUCGCCUCUAUGAAGCUGGAAUCACUAGUAACCGCAGAUCAUCGCGCUGCGGUGAAUACGUUCUCGGGCCUUGUACACACCGCCCGUCACACCAUGGAAGUCAGAAACACCCAAAGUCCCGAUUUAUCGAGAUUAAGGUGGUGCUGGUGACUGGGGUGAAGUCGUAACAAGGUAGCCGUACCGGAAGGUGUGGCUGGAUCACCUCCUUUCUAAGGAGUAGAGUUC